UACGUAGGGGGCUAGCGUUGUCCGGAAUCAUUGGGCGUAAAGCGCGCGUAGGCGGCCCGGUAAGUCCGUUGUGAAAGUCAAAGGCUCAACCUUUGAAAGCCGAUGGAUACUGCCGGGCUAGAGUCCGGAAGAGGCGAGUGGAAUUCCUGGUGUAGCGGUGGAAUGCGUUGAUAUUGGCAGGAACGCCGGUGGUGAAGACGCGCGGCUGGACCUUUUCUGACGCUGAGGCACGAAAGCCAGGGGAGCAAACGGG
rnacentral:rRNA from 1 species